GCCGAGGUGGCGGAAUGGUAGACGCGAAGGCCUUAAGAGCCUUUGUCAGCCAACUGACGUGGAGGUUCGAGUCCUCUCCUCGGCA
rnacentral:tRNA from 1 species